UACGAAGGGGGACUAGCGUUGUUCGGAAUUACUGGGCGUAAAGCGCACGUAGGCGGAUUUGUAAGUCAGGGGUGAAAUCCCGGGGCUCAACCUCGGAACUGCCUUUGAUACUGCAAAUCUCGAGUCCGGAAGAGGUGAGUGGAAUUCCUAGUGUAGAGGUGAAAAUUCGUAGAUAUUAGGAAGAACACCAGUGGCGAAGGCGGCUCACUGGUCCGGUACUGACGCUGAGGUGCGAAAGCGUGGGGAGCAAACAGG
rnacentral:rRNA from 1 species